CAUUUCACAACUCUUUUAUCCUAUUCUCCAACCAAAAAGAGCCUCUGUUGAUAGAGAAAAAUUUAGAAAAGAUAUGAGAUUGUGCUGCUAAUACAUUUAUAGAAGAUUCAGGAUACAAAGAAUAUUACUC
rnacentral:lncRNA from 13 species